GUUGGCCUCGGAUCAGGUGGGGAUACCCGCUGAACUUAAGCAUAUCAAUAAGCGGAGGAAAAGAAACCAACAGGGAUUGCCUCAGUAACGGCGAGUGAAGCGGCAACAGCUCAAAUUUGAAAUCUGGCGCAAGCCCGAGUUGUAAUUUGCAGAGGAUGUUUCGGGUGAGGCCGCGGUCCAAGUCCCUUGGAACAGGACGUCAUAGAGGGUGAGAACCCCGUACCUGGCCGUCGGCUCCCCCCGCUGUGAAACUCCUUCGACGAGUCGAGUUGUUUGGGAAUGCAGCUCUAAAUUGGUGGUAAAUUCCAUCUAAAGCUAAAUACCGGCCAGAGACCGAUAGCGCACAAGUAGAGUGAUCGAAAGAUGAAAAGCACUUUGAAAAGAGAGUUAAAAAGUACGUGAAAUUGUUGAAAGGGAAGCGCUUGCGGCCAGACUUGCCCGCGGUUGCUCAGCCCGCCCUUUGGCGGGUGCACUCUUCCGCGGUCAGGCCAGCAUCGGUUUGGGCGGUCGGACAAAGGCGCCGGGAACGUGGCCUCCCCUCGGGGAGGUGUUAUAGCCCGGUGCGCAAUGCGGCCAGCCCGGACCGAGGUUCGCGCUCUGCUAGGAUGCUGGCGUAAUGGCCGUAAGCGGCCCGUCUUGAAACACGGACCAAGGAGUCUAACAUCUAUGCGAGUGUUUGGGUGUCAAACCCGUGCGCGUAAUGAAAGUGAACGGAGGUGGGAACCGCAAGGUGCACCAUCGACCGAUCCCGAUGUCUUCGGAAGGAUUUGAGUAAGAGCAUAGCUGUUGGGACCCGAAAGAUGGUGAACUAUGCGUGAAUAGGGUGAAGCCAGAGGAAACUCUGGUGGAGGCUCGCAGCGGUUCUGACGUGCAAAUCGAUCGUCAAAUUUGCGUAUAGGGGCGAAAGACUAAUCGAACCA
rnacentral:rRNA from 1 species